rnacentral:rRNA from 1 species
GAUGAACGCUGGCGGCGUGCUUAACACAUGCAAGUCGAACGGAAAGGCUCCUGCUUGCAGGGGUACUCGAGUGGCGAACGGGUGAGUAACACGUGGGUGAUCUGCCCUGCACUUCGGGAUAAGCCUGGGAAACUGGGUCUAAUACCGGAUAGGACGAUGGUUUGGAUGCCAUUGUGGAAAGUUUUUCGGUGUGGGAUGAGCUCGCGGCCUAUCAGCUUGUUGGUGGGGUAAUGGCCUACCAAGGCGUCGACGGGUAGCCGGCCUGAGAGGGUGUACGGCCACAUUGGGACUGAGAUACGGCCCAGACUCCUACGGGAGGCAGCAGUGGGGAAUAUUGCACAAUGGGCGCAAGCCUGAUGCAGCGACGCCGCGUGGGGGAUGACGGCCUUCGGUUUGUAAACUCCUUUCGCUAGGGACGAAGCGCAAGUGACGGUACCUGGAGAAGAAGCACCGGCUAACUACGUG